rnacentral:rRNA from 1 species
GUGUCAGCAGCCGCGGUAACACGGGGGGAGCAAGCGUUGUUCGGAAUCACUGGGCGUAAAGGGCGUGUAGGCGGUCAAGUAAGUGGAAUGUGAAAUCCCCCGGCUUACCCGGGGACCGGCAUCCCAUACUGCUUGGCUUGAGUACGGGAGAGGAUGUGGGAAUUCCUGGUGUAGCGGUGAAAUGCGUAGAUAUCAGGAGGAACACCGGUGGCGAAGGCGCACAUCUGGCCCGAUACUGACGCUGAAGCGCGAAAGCUAGGGGAGCAAACGGGAUUAGAAACCCGAGUAGUCC